rnacentral:rRNA from 1 species
AUGGCCAACCCAGCUGCAACUUCCCCGACCAUCCGCAACGGUGCUACCGCCGGCUGGCCGCGCGAUGGUGCCGGCCCCGACGCCCCCUUCAUCGGCAUCCUUGUCGCUCACCACUCCACUACCCACUCCAUGCCUCAAGACAACUCCACCACGAACCCCGCUACACCCCCGCCCUCCACUCAGCUAGACCUAGACGCCCUGCGUGCUCGCCUAAACGAGGCACGUGCAGCGGCCGCUUUCGGCCCGUCUCCUAUGCAUGCCCGCGGCGAUCUCCCCCCGCGCCAUUCUGGCCCUCCUCUUCAGCACGCACCCCUCAUUGUGGCGCCUCCAUGCCUUGUCAAUGACGUCGGCCACAUCGCGUUCGCCCACCUCCGCACUCCCAUCCACAACCCUGCGACGCUCAUCCAUGACGCCAUCUUGGCUCACGCCGGCAACCCCAGCUUCAGCGUUGCGGGCUGCGUCACUUUUGAGUCCGCAAGCGUGCGGGAUUACCUUGUCAGCCUCGGUUCCCUCGACUUUCGUGGCAACCAGAUCACACUCGAGCCGGUCGAGCUUGCUGACCGGGCGUCACCAGUCUUCGACCAGCUAAUCGAGGUCCAGGCUGCGGAAUUCCCGCACGAGCUCUGGCACGACGCCGGGAUCCGGUGGGCUCUUAGCCGCCUUGGAGACAUUUGCUCCGUCGACCACUACUGCCUCGAGGGGCGUGACUUCACAGCAGUUCGCGCCCUCGUCAUGGUCGACCGGCGAAACCGCCUGCCGGACUCCCUGCCAAUCCAGUUCCCUCCCUCCAACGACAUCAAAGUCGUCAAGAUCACCAAGCUCGCCACGAUCCUCAACCCGAUGGGACCUUCUGACCCAUCGCCGUUCUCCUCCGACUCUGACUCGGACGCGGACGAUCACCACUUCAACCACGACAACAACCCACGCAACGCCCCUACGGGCAAUGCUGACGAGCUACCUCGGGGCCCGCCGCCGUCCCCUGUCCUCGCCACCACACCACCUCCUCCCAACAACGUCGGUGGCUCCGCCGACCUGCCGCUGCUCGUCUCGUCCGAGGACGAGGGGCCUGCGGAGAAGGGGAUACCCGUCCUCAACAUCUCAUCAGACAGUGACUCCGCCCCCCCAUCGCAGCGAGCCUCGCCCCCCAUGGCAGCCCAUGCAUGCCCCAUCGCCGACUCCUCCUCCACGACUGCCACCAUCACGCGCCCCACACCACGCCUCGCUGCGGCUGUCGGGGGCGUCCACCUGCCGGCGCCCCCGCUUGCGGUCGGUGGUGACGACGGCGUCUUCAACGCCCCUCCUCCACCCUCCGCCCUGCAACUGUCGUCGGCGUUCUGCCAGUACGACAGUUCCACCUCGUCAAACUUCGACAGUGACGCUACCGCCUUCACCUUCUCGGCUGGGGCUUCCUCCCCUGAUUCAGCCACCCACGAGUCCGUGCUUCGCAAGCUGCGUCACUGCGCCAAACGUUCGGCGGACAAGACCAAAAGCCUCCGCCGUAGCUCCCGCCUGGCCGCCAAAGAGCCCUCUGUCUUCACUGACAUGACUACUAGGGCUGUCAGGGCAAAAGCCGCGCGUCUCAAUGCAUCAGACGUCGCAAAGGCUCUCAAGGACGCCAUCCACCACGCCCAGCUUGAUGUUCCAGAGGCCCCGCCUGCUUCUGCCGCAGCCCUUGCGGAGAUUGCCUCACUCUGUGGGGCUGGCGGUGAGGCUGCUGCUUCCGUUGCUCAUGCUGACGACAGCAGCGACGACGGCGGUGCUGACGCCCUGCCAUGA